UUGAAUGAUUAUACAUUUUUAACCCUGAUCACCAUGAAGAUCAAAAUCGCAACAACACUCUAAUUUUUUAAUGACG
rnacentral:snoRNA from 1 species